CCAGAGGCUGCUCCGCACAAUUGGAACAACAAACGAUGAAGCGUUGUCCGGAGC
rfam:Paenibacillus sp. 11 genome assembly, contig: Ga0139009_101